ACAUCGAUGGUGAAACGGUAUCAUGCUUGCCUUCCAGCCUAUCCUUUCAGUGUAAGCAAGCGGCACGGGUUCGACUCCCGUUCGAUGUA